AAGUAGGCCUGAGUCAGUGAAGAGCUUUGGAGGGCGGGACUGAAUGGGGGUUAAUCAGAGGAUGCGAUUGCUGACCCUUUGCACUUUGGCAUGGCCCAUCCCCUAAUUUCUGACCAGAAGCCCUCCCUCUACCCUAAGCUCGUGCGUCACGACGCCGCCAGCUGAUCGGAGCCUGGAGCCGGUGUGUGCUGGGUGCCGAGAAGAGACAGCGCCGCCGGCCGUGGGGAGCGGACGCAGUGAUUUGCUCCCCCUCGUGCAGCAACCCCCACACCCAGCACCAGGCCCCCAGAACUCUCCUUCCAGCUGAACUCCCUGGGAACAAGUCAGUUGGGCUGAUCACUGAACUCACAUUUCUGGACCUGAGGAGCCUGUUCCUCUCACGCCCUCACCUGGCUGAGCCGCAGU
rnacentral:lncRNA from 1 species